AUUGAACGCUGGCGGCAUGCCUAACACAUGCAAGUCGAACGAGUGGCGGACGGGUGAGUAAUGUCUGGGAAACUGCCUGAUGGAGGGGGAUAACUACUGGAAACGGUAGCUAAUACCGCAUACCAUCAGAUGUGCCCAGAUGGGGUUAGCUAGUAGGUGAGGUCAUGGCUCACCUAGGCGACGAUCCCUAGCUGGUCUGAGAGGGUGACCAGCCAGACUGGAACGGAGACACGGUCCAGACGCCUACGGGAGGCAGCAGUGGGGAAUAUGGAGCAAUGGGCGCAAGCCUGAUGCAGCCAUGCCGCGUGUAUGAAGGAGGCCUUCGGGUUGUAGAGUACUUUCAGCGGGUAGGCGUUACCCGCAGAAGAAGCACCGGCUAACUCCGUGCCAGCAGCCGCGGUAAUAC
rnacentral:rRNA from 1 species